rnacentral:rRNA from 1 species
CCUACGGGUGGCAGCAGUGGGGAAUAUUGCACAAUGGGGGAAACCCUGAUGCAGCAACGCCGCGUGAGUGAAGAAGUAUUUCGGUAUGUAAAGCUCUAUCAGCAGGGAAGAAGAUGACGGUACCUGAGUAAGAAGCCCCGGCUAACUACGUGCCAGCAGCCGCGGUAAUACGUAGGGGGCAAGCGUUAUCCGGAUUUACUGGGUGUAAAGGGAGCGCAGACGGUGAGACAAGUCUGAAGUGAAAGCCCGGGGCUCAACCCCGGGACUGCUCUGGAAACUGUACGGCUGGAGUGCAGGAGAGGUAAGUGGAAUUCCUAGUGUAGCGGUGAAAUGCGUAGAUAUUAGGAGGAACACCAGUGGCGAAGGCGGCUUACUGGACUGUAACUGACGUUGAGGCUCGAAAGCGUGGGGAGCAAACAGGAUUAGAUACCCCUGUAGUC